ensembl:lncRNA
AGUAGACGGAGGGGAGUGAUGGGGGAGACAGGAGGAAGUAGACGGAGGGGAGUGAUGGGGGAGACAGGUCGACGUAGACGGAGGAGAGUGAUGGGGGAGACAGGUGGACGUAGAUGGAGGGGAGUGAUGGGGGAGACAGGUGGACGUAGAUGGAAGGGAGUGAUGGGGGAGACAGGUGGACGUAGAUGGAAGGGAGUGAUGGGAGAGACAGGUAGACGUAGACGGAGGGGAGUGAUGGGGGAGACAGGUGGACGUAGAUGGAAGGGAGUGAUGGGAGAGACAGGUAGACGUAGACGGAGGGGAGUGAU